rnacentral:rRNA from 1 species
GACGAACGCUGGCGGCGUGCUUAACACAUGCAAGUCGAACGAAGUGGCGAACGGGUGAGUAACGCGUAAUCAACCUGCCCUUCAGAGGGGGACAACAGUUGGAAACGACUGCUAAUACCGCAUACUUACGGAGGGGAUUGCGGUUGAUUAGCGCGUUGGCGGGGUAACGGCCCACCAAGGCGAUGGUCAGUAGGCGGUCUGAGGGGAUGAACGGCCAAAGUGCGACGGAGACACGGCCCAGACGCCUACGGGAGGAAGCAGUGGGGAAUCUUCCGCAAUGGACGAAAGGCUGACGGAGCAACGCCGCGUGAGUGAUGACGGCCUUCGGGUUGUAAAGCUAUGUUAAUCGGGACGCGGUACCGGAAUAGAAAGCCACGGCUAACUACGUGCCAGCCGCCGCGGUAAUAC